rnacentral:rRNA from 1 species
UACGUAGGUGGCAAGCGUUAUCCGGAAUGAUUGGGCGUAAAGGGUGCGUAGGCGGCACAUUAAGUCUGAAGUAGAAGGCAGCAGCUCAACUGCUGUAAGCAUUGGAAACUGAUGAGCUAGAGUGCAGGAGAGGUUAGUGGAAUUCCAUGUGUAGCGGUAAAAUGCGUAGAUAUAUGGAGGAACACCAGUGGCGAAGGCGGCUAACUGGCCUGUAACUGACGCUGAAGCACGAAAGCGUGGGGAGCGAAUAGGAUUAGAAACCCCUGUAGU